rnacentral:rRNA from 1 species
AUCGAACGCUGGCGGCAUGCUUUACACAUGCAAGUCGAACGGUAACAGGUUAAGCUGACGAGUGGCGAACGGGUGAGUAAUGCAUCGGAACGUGCCCGGUCGUGGGGGAUAACGCAGCGAAAGCUGCGCUAAUACCGCAUACGAUCUGAGGAUGAAAGCGGGGGACCGUAAGGCCUCGCGCGAUCGGAGCGGCCGAUGUCAGAUUAGGUAGUUGGUGGGGUAAAGGCUCACCAAGCCAACGAUCUGUAGCUGGUCUGGAGAGGACGACCAGCCACACUGGGACUGAGACACGGCCCAGACUCCUACGGGAGGCAGCAGUGGGGAAUUUUGGACAAUGGGCGAAAGCCUGAUCCAGCAAUGCCGCGUGCAGGAAGAAGGCCUUCGGGUUGUAAACUGCUUUUGUACGGAGCGAAAAGGUCUCCUCUAAUACAGGGGGCUCAUGACGGUACCGUAAGAAUAAGCACCGGCUAACUACAUGCCAGCCGCCGCCGUAA